AGUCGAGCGAGAACGCCAGACUUCGGUCUGGUUAGUAAAGCGGCGCACGGGUGAGUAACGCGUGAGUAACCUAUCCUCAAGACCGGGAUAACAUCGCGAAAGCGGUGCUAAUACCGGAUAAGACCACGGAUUCUUUGGAAUCUGGGGUAAAAGGUGACCUCUUCAUGAAAAUUGCCGCUUGAGGGCGGGCUCGCGUCCCAUUAGUUUGUUGGUGGGGUAACGGCCUACCAAGGCAACGAUGGGUAGCUGGUCUGAGAGGACGACCAGCCACACUGGAACUGGAACACGGUCCAGACUCCUACGAGAGGCAGCAGUGAGGAAUUUUGCGCAAUGGGGGAAACCUUGACGCAGCGACGCCGCGUGGGUGAUGAAGGCCUUCGGGUCGUAAAGCCCUGUCAGGAGGGAAGAAAGGUUUUUAGGUCAAUAGCCUAUUAAUUUGACGGUACCUCCAAAGGAAGCACCGGCCAACUCCGUGCCAGCAGCCGCGGUAACACGGAGGGUGCGAGCGUUGUUCGGAAUCACUGGGCGUAAAGGGCGAGUACGCGGUUGGGUAAGUCAGGUGUGAAUUCCUAGGCUCAACCCAGGAAGUGCACUUGAUACUGCCCAUCUUGAUUACGGGAGAGGGAGGUGGAAUUCCCAGUGUAGAGGUGGAAUUCGUAGAUAUUGGGAGGAACACCGGUGGCGAAGGCGGCCUCCUGGACCGAUACUGACGCUGAGGCGCGAAAGCGUGGGGAGCAAACAGGAUUAGAUACCCUGGUAGUCCACGCCGUAAACGGUGAGCACUAGGUGCAGCGGGUAUUGACCCCUGCUGUGCCGCAGCUAACGCAUUAAGUGCUCCGCCUGGGGAGUACGGCCGCAAGGUUGAAACUCAGAGGAAUUGACGGGGGCCCGCACAAGCGGUGGAGCAUGUGGUCCAAUUCGACGCAACGCGAAGAACCUUACCUGGGCUUGACAUCCCCUGACCGCCCAAGAAACUGGGUCUUCCCUUCGGGGACAGGGUGACAGGUGCUGCAUGGCUGUCGUCAGCUCGUGUCGUGAGAUGUUGGGUUAAGUCCCGCAACGAGCGCAACCCUUACCUCUAGUUGCCACCAUUCAGUUGGGCACUCUAGAGGGACUGCCUCGGUUAACGAGGAGGAAGGUGGGGACGACGUCAAGUCCUCAUGGCCCUUAUGCCCAGGGCUACACACGUGCUACAAUGGCCGGUACAAAGGGUGGCAAUCCCGCGAGGGGGAGCCAAUCCCAAAAAGCCGGUCUCAGUCCAGAUUGGAGUCUGCAACUCGACUCCAUGAAGCCGGAAUCGCUAGUAAUCGCGGAUCAGCACGCCGCGGUGAUACGUUCCCGGGCCUUGUACACACCGCCCGUCACACCACGAAAGCCGGUUGUACCAGAAGCCGGUGGGCCAACCCAUUCGGGA
rnacentral:rRNA from 1 species